CGGAUUGUAGUCUGCAACCCGACUACAUGAAGCUGGAAUCGCUAGUAAUCGCGGAUCAGAAUGCCGCGGUGAAUACGUUCCCGGGUCCUGUACACACCGCCGUCACACCAUGGGAGUCGGAAAUGCCCGAAGUCAGUGACCUAACCGAAAGGAAGGAGCUGCCGAAGGUGGAGCCGGUAACUGGGGUGAAGUCGUAACAAGGUACC
rnacentral:rRNA from 1 species